CCUACGGGUGGCAGCAGUGGGGAAUAUUGCACAAUGGGGGAAACCCUGAUGCAGCGACGCCGCGUGAGUGAAGAAGUAAUUCGGUAUGUAAAGCUCUAUCAGCAGGGAAGAAAAGGACGGUAUCUGAGUAAGAAGCUCCGGCUAACUACGUGCCAGCAGCCGCGGUAAUACGUAGGGGGCAAGCGUUAUCCGGAUUUACUGGGUGUAAAGGGAGCGUAGACGGAAGUGCAAGUCUGGAGUGAAAGGCGGGGGCUCAACCCCCGGACUGCUCUUGAAACUGUACGGCUGGAGUGCAGGAGAGGUAAGUGGAAUUCCUAGUGUAGCGGUGAAAUGCGUAGAUAUUAGGAGGAACACCAGUGGCGAAGGCAGCUUACUGGACUGUAACUGACGUUGAGGCUCGAAAGCGUGGGGAGCAAACAGGAUUAGAUACCCGUGUAGUC
rnacentral:rRNA from 1 species